GGGGUUGUGGCUCAGCGGUAGAGCACUCGCCUAGCACAUGCGAGACACUGGGUUCGAUCCUCAGCACCACG
rnacentral:tRNA from 1 species